rnacentral:rRNA from 1 species
AUGUAUCUGUGUAAAUCAUCCAUGCCAAAAUGUGUUGCUGCUGGGAUAGUCACUACUGAAACUUCCAAGAUCAACUUCUUUGAAGAAUUUCAUUGGCUAGCUUUAGGAAACGGCAAGUUCAUGGUCGUCUCCGUCGGCUGCGGGCUGAACCCGAAAGAGAGCUACAGCGCCAAGGACGCCGCCAAGUGGGAGAUCCUGAACUGA